GACGAACGCUGGCGGCGUGCUUAACACAUGCAAGUCGAACGGAAAGGCCCUGCUUUUGUGGGGUGCUCGAGUGGCGAACGGGUGAGUAACACGUGAGUAACCUGCCCUUGACUUUGGGAUAACUUCAGGAAACUGGGGCUAAUACCGGAUAGGAGCUCCUGCUGCAUGGUGGGGGUUGGAAAGUUUCGGCGGUUGGGGAUGGACUCGCGGCUUAUCAGCUUGUUGGUGGGGUAGUGGCUUACCAAGGCUUUGACGGGUAGCCGGCCUGAGAGGGUGACCGGCAACAUUGGGACUGAGAUACGGCCGAGACUCCUAAGGGAGGCAGCAGUGGGGAAUAAUGCACAAUGGGCGGAAGCCGGAUGCAGCAACGCCGCGUGCGGGAUGACGGCCUUCGGGUUGUAAACCGCUUUCGCCUGUGACGAAGCGUGAGUGACGGUAAUGGGUAAAGAAGCACCGGCUAACUACGUG
rnacentral:rRNA from 1 species